UGGCGGCGUGCCUAAUACAUGCAAGUAGAACGCUGAAGAGAGGAGCUUGCUCUUCUUGGAUGAGUUGCGAACGGGUGAGUAACGCGUAGGUAACCUGCCUUGUAGCGGGGGAUAACUAUUGGAAACGAUAGCUAAUACCGCAUAACAAUGGAUGACCCAUGUCAUUUAUUUGAAAGGGGCAAAUGCUCCACUACAAGAUGGACCUGCGUUGUAUUAGCUAGUAGGUGAGGUAACGGCUCACCUAGGCGACGAUACAUAGCCGACCUGAGAGGGUGAUCGGCCACACUGGGACUGAGACACGGCCCAGACUCCUACGGGAGGCAGCAGUAGGGAAUCUUCGGCAAUGGGGGCAACCCUGACCGAGCAACGCCGCGUGAGUGAAGAAGGUUUUCGGAUCGUAAAGCUCUGUUGUAAGUCAAGAACGAGUGUGAGAGUGGAAAGUUCACACUGUGACGGUAGCUUACCAGAAAGGGACGGCUAACUACGUGCCAGCAGCCGCGGUAAUACGUAGGUCCCGAGCGUUGUCCGGAUUUAUUGGGCGUAAAGCGAGCGCAGGCGGUUUGAUAAGUCUGAAGUUAAAGGCUGUGGCUCAACCAUAGUUCGCUUUGGAAACUGUCAAACUUGAGUGCAGAAGGGGAGAGUGGAAUUCCAUGUGUAGCGGUGAAAUGCGUAGAUAUAUGGAGGAACACCGGUGGCGAAAGCGGCUCUCUGGUCUGUAACUGACGCUGAGGCUCGAAAGCGUGGGGAGCGAACAGGAUUAGAUACCCUGGUAGUCCACGCCGUAAACGAUGAGUGCUAGGUGUUGGAUCCUUUCCGGGAUUCAGUGCCGCAGCUAACGCAUUAAGCACUCCGCCUGGGGAGUACGACCGCAAGGUUGAAACUCAAAGGAAUUGACGGGGGCCCGCACAAGCGGUGGAGCAUGUGGUUUAAUUCGAAGCAACGCGAAGAACCUUACCAGGUCUUGACAUCCCGAUGCUAUUUCUAGAGAUAGAAAGUUACUUCGGUACAUCGGUGACAGGUGGUGCAUGGUUGUCGUCAGCUCGUGUCGUGAGAUGUUGGGUUAAGUCCCGCAACGAGCGCAACCCCUAUUGUUAGUUGCCAUCAUUCAGUUGGGCACUCUAGCGAGACUGCCGGUAAUAAACCGGAGGAAGGUGGGGAUGACGUCAAAUCAUCAUGCCCCUUAUGACCUGGGCUACACACGUGUUACAAUGGUUGGUACAACGAGUUGCGAGUCGGUGACGGCAAGCUAAUCUCUUAAAGCCAAUCUCGGUUCGGAUUGUAGGCUGCAACUCGCCUACAUGAAGUCGGAAUCGCUAGUAAUCGCGGAUCAGCACGCCGCGGUGAAUACGUUCCCGGGCCUUGUACACACCGCCCGUCACACCACGAGAGUUUGUAACACCCGAAGUCGGUGAGGUAACCUUUUGGAGCCAGCCGCCUAAGGUGGGAUA
rnacentral:rRNA from 1 species